rnacentral:rRNA from 1 species
UACGGAGGGGGCUAGCGUUGUUCGGAAUCAUUGGGCGUAAAGGGCGCGUAGGCGGCCGAUCAAGUCGGAGGUGAAAUCCCUCGGCUCAACUGAGGAAUUGCCUUCGAUACUGUUCGGCUUGAGUCCUGGAGAGGGUAGCGGAAUUCCCGGUGUAGCGGUGAAAUGCGUAGAGACCGGGAAGAACACCAGUGGCGAAGGCGGCUACCUGGACAGGUACUGACGCUGAAGCGCGAAAGCUAGGGGAGCAAACAGGAUUAGAUACCCUGGUAGUCCUAGCUGUAAACGAUGGGCACUUGGUGUUGCGGGUAUCGACCCCUGCAGUGCCGAAGCUAACGCAUUAAGUGCCCCGCCUGGGGAGUACGGUCGCAAGGCUG